rnacentral:rRNA from 1 species
UACGUAGGUGGCGAGCGUUGUCCGGAAUUACUGGGUGUAAAGGGCGUGUAGGCGGUAUAUUAAGUCAGAUGUGAAAUUUGGGGGCUUAACCCUCAGGCUGCAUUUGAAACUGAUGUACUUGAGUGCAGGAGAGGAAAGCGGAAUUCCUAGUGUAGCGGUGAAAUGCGUAGAUAUUAGGGGGAACACCAGUGGCGAAGGCGGCUUUCUGGACUGUAACUGACGCUGAUACGCGAAAGCGUGGGGAGCAAACAGGAUUAGAUACCCUGGUAGUCCACGCCGUAAACGAUGAUUACUAGGUGUGGGAGGUAUCGACCCCUUCCGUGCCGGAGUUAACACAAUAAGUAAUCCACCUGGGGAGUACGGCCGCAAGGUUGAA